rnacentral:rRNA from 1 species
CGGCAGCACGGGGGCAACCCUGGUGGCGAGUGGCGAACGGGUGAGUAAUACAUCGGAACGUGUCCUGUAGUGGGGGAUAGCCCGGCGAAAGCCGGAUUAAUACCGCAUACGCUCUACGGAGGAAAGGGGGGGAUCUUAGGACCUCCCGCUACAGGGGCGGCCGAUGGCAGAUUAGCUAGUUGGUGGGGUAAAGGCCUACCAAGGCGACGAUCUGUAGCUGGUCUGAGAGGACGACCAGCCACACUGGGACUGAGACACGGCCCAGACUCCUACGGGAGGCAGCAGUGGGGAAUUUUGGACAAUGGGGGCAACCCUGAUCCAGCAAUGCCGCGUGUGUGAAGAAGGCCUUCGGGUUGUAAAGCACUUUUGUCCGGAAAGAAAACGCCGUGGUUAAUACCCGUGGCGGAUGACGGUACCGGAAGAAUAAGCACCGGCUAACUACGUGCCAGCAGCCGCGGUAAUACGUAGGGUGCAAGCGUUAAUCGGAAUUACUGGGCGUAAAGCGUGCGCAGGCGGUCCGCUAAGACAGAUGUGAAAUCCCCGGGCUUAACCUGGGAACUGCAUUUGUGACUGGCGGGCUAGAGUAUGGCAGAGGGGGGUAGAAUUCCACGUGUAGCAGUGAAAUGCGUAGAGAUGUGGAGGAAUACCGAUGGC